rnacentral:rRNA from 1 species
AACGAACGCUGGCGGCAUGCCUAACACAUGCAAGUCGAACGAGACCUUCGGGUCUAGUGGCGCACGGGUGCGUAACGCGUGGGAACCUGCCCUUAGGUUCGGAAUAACUCCCCGAAAGGGGUGCUAAUACCGGAUAAUGUCUUCGGACCAAAGAUUUAUCGCCUUUGGAUGGGCCCGCGUUGGAUUAGCUAGUUGGUAGGGUAAAAGCCUACCAAGGCGACGAUCCAUAGCUGGUCUGAGAGGAUGAUCAGCCACACUGGGACUGAGACACGGCCCAGACUCCUACGGGAAGCAGCAGUGGGGAAUAUUGGACAACGGGCGAAAGCCUGAUCCAGCAAUGCCGCGUGAGUGAUGAAGGCCUUAGGGUUGUAAAGCUCUUUUACCCGGGAUGAUAAUGACAGUACCGGGAGAAUAAGCUCCGGCUAACUCCGUG